UACGAAGGGGGCUAGCGUUGUUCGGAAUUACUGGGCGUAAAGCGCACGUAGGCGGAUUUGUAAGUCAGGGGUGAAAUCCCGGGGCUCAACCUCGGAACUGCCUUUGAUACUGCAAGUCUCGAGUCCGAUAGAGGUGAGUGGAAUUCCUAGUGUAGAGGUGAAAUUCGUAGAUAUUAGGAAGAACACCAGUGGCGAAGGCGGCUCACUGGAUCGGUACUGAAGCUGAGGUGCGAAAGCGUGGGGAGCAAACAGG
rnacentral:rRNA from 1 species